GGACAGGGGUUUUCAUCAUUUCGGAGGACCACCGUCAAUUUGAAGAAGAAGAAGAAGUUGGAGGUAAACAGGAGGAUUCAGAGAUGAUGACGAAGGAGUCAAAACAAAAUCACCUAACGUGUUGCAGCGAAUGAGAUGCUCUGGAGAGGAGCACGCCGGGAUGGAGACGAGAGGUGUGCUGGAUGCUUGCUGCUGCAGGAGGAUGUUGCGCACUUGAAUUUACCUACGGAGUGAGAGGUCUGAAGGCUCUGAGCAUCCAUGAGGUACUGCGUAGUCAUGUUAUUGAUGAGGUAGAUGUUGUUUUUGUUCAGUGGACUCUUUUAUCAGCACUUUAGACUUACUAAUUGUUGACUUAGUUUGUAUAUAUCUUUAAUAUAGGAGGAUAUGAAGUUUAUUGUAAGUUUUUUUUAUGUAGAUGAUUUUUAAUUUAAUAUUGUAAGUUCAAAUCAUUGAAAGAAUACUAAAUGUUCUUGCAACUUUUACAGGACAUUUUUAUUAUAAGCUUCUUGAUGUUGUUAUUAUUGCAGCUGUCAGAGUUUUCUGUGUUUAGCAUUCUAAGUGUCAAGUGUUUGUUAUGGCUCUUCCAGACGAGCUUGAUUUGAUUUAAAAUAUAGCAAUUAAAAGGAAAAUGCAUUAGUAAUAACUUUAUUUAAUAACUCUUUAUGGUAAAAAAAAAAAAAAAAGAACCCAGAGUUGAAAUUAUGUAAUGUUGUUUUUUUUUCCUCUCAAUGUGCGUUUGCAGAAAUAGAAAUCCUUCAAUUAGUUUCUUUAAAGAAAAACUGUUGUUGAUUCUUUGUGAAGGUGAACUUAAGUGCGUACACCUGCUGUGCCAGUGUUUUGACUCAGCUCCAUCCAUCCAGAGGGUUCUAUGUCAUACGCACUUUUUAUUCCUGAUGUAAACAAACCCUCCUGAAGCAAUACCCGGAUCUAACACAGGAUGGCGUAUUUCUGCAGUCAUACCAUCUUGUUCUGAAUGAAGACACCAGUAAUAGUGUUAUGGGAAUGAGACGGAUGCAAGAGUGGGAAGUAUUGAUGCAAAACUGGAGCGUGGGCGACGCAGUAUUUGCAUAUGUAAAUGAAAAUGCAUUUUCAUACUCUUUGUCUCCUAAACUUUCAUGACAGGACGACGGCUACCAUCCAUCUUGAUGCUCUUUGGAAACAAUGAUCUGAUAUCCCUUCAAGUCAACCCCCCCCCCUCCCCAAAAUGUCUGCAGUCAGCUGACGAGUAAGAAAUAAAGUUCUGCAACUGUGGGUUGAAUGAGCUCAAGGGAAAUGAAUGUAUCAAAGAAUAGAACCCAACAACACAAUUAAGCUUUGAAGCUGAAAUUGCUUUCCUCCCAGACACAUUUUUACCAUUUCUCUUCUCACAGAGUGAAACAAGGAUUGCUUUCAACUCUCAGUGCAAGGUAAGAGCUUGUGCAUUUCACUUAAUAAACAUCCAGGACACGUUUCUAAACAGUGCAGCUGCUAACUGUUGAUGUAAGUCAUUCAUAAAAACGCAGAACUUAAUUGGCCCGCUGCAAAUUAGCAUUGUUACAGUUCAGAGUGUGUCUGCUUUUAACUGCACUUUACAGCAAAAAUAAUUGAAUUUUACAAUUGCACAGCAUCAAAGUGUUAUAUCUGUACAAAGGUCACAUGUCUCGUAGUCUGGUAACAGUGACUGCUUCUCAUUGUGUGCGUGCAUGCUCUACAAGUCUCAUCAUAAUUCCCGGGAAUUUUCUCAGGAACUGCCCAGGACGAAGCUCUCAGAGAUUUCUCUUUUAUCACACAGUGCGUGACGCCUGAUCAGACGACAACGUCCCCCAGAGACGGCCUGUUUGCUUUUUGCCUGAGUGAUGGAGUUCGCAGCAUUAUCCUCGAGACGGCCGCUGUAGCAUUCACACGGCUCAUAACGCUUCACAGCUCCAUUGUCUGAAUUACAUAACAGUUGAAGAAUCAUCUGAUCAAGGUAUGUGAACAAUGAGAUGAAUCUACAAAGAGCUACAUUCUUAAAAUAAACUGUACUCGCGUUUGACUGAACCAAAAGAGACUAUUUAUAAGACAGAGACACAAGAAACUGCUUUAUCCCUGUGUUAGAUUUAUUGCAGUCUAUUAUAUUACUUUAGAGCGACAUACGUUUAAUCUUCCUAUGAUGCUAAAGGAUUAAAGAUUCUGGAUAAGAGUUUAAAAAAGAGGAUAAAACAGUUUCCUGCCUUUCCCUUAUGGCCGAGUUGUGGUAGGAAGUGCCACGAACUGAAAGAGGAAGUACAAACAUGUGGUUGGCAUAUAUUCUUGAUAACUAACAAUGUGUGGUUUGUCAAUCGCAUCAAGCUUUAUGUUUUUAAACAUCGUCCAUCUAA